rnacentral:rRNA from 1 species
GACAGAGGGUGCACACGUUGUUCGGAAUUACUGGGCGUAAAGCGCGUGUAGGCGGCCAUCUAAGUCGGGCGUGAAAUCCCACGGCUCAACCGUGGAAGUGCACUCGAAACUGGAUGGCUAGAGUCCUGGAGAGGAAGGUGGAAUGCUUGGUGUAGAGGUGAAAUUCGUAGAUAUCAAGCGGAACACCGGUGGCGAAGGCGGCCUUCUGGACAGUGACUGACGCUGAGGCGCGACAGCGUGGGGAGCAAACAGG